rnacentral:rRNA from 1 species
AUUAGCUAGUUGGUGAGGUAAAGGCUUACCAAGGCGACGAUCGGUAGCUGGUCUGAGAGGAUGAUCAGCCACACUGGGACUGAGACACGGCCCAGACUCCUACGGAGGCAGCAGUAGGGAAUCUUCCGCAAUGGGCGAAAGCCUGACGGAGCAACGCCGCGUGAAUGAAGACGGUCUUCGGAUUGUAAAGUUCUGUCAUUUGGGACGAGCGACCUUGAGAGGAAAUGCUCGAGGUGAGACGGUACCAAAGGAGGAAGCCCCGGCUAACUACGUGCCAGCAGCCGCGGUAAUACGUAGGGGGCAAGCGUUGUCCGGAAUGACUGGGCGUAAAGCGCGCGCAGGCGGUCUUUCGCGUCUGGGGUGAAAGGUCAGGGCUCAACCCUGACAUGGCCUUGGAAACGGGGAGACUUGAGGGUCGGAGAGGUCAGGGGAAUUCCACGUGUAGCGGUGAAAUGCGUAGAUAUGUGGAGGAAUACCAGUGGGGAAGGCGCCUGACUGGACGAAACCUGACGCUGAGGCGCGAAGGCGUGGGGAGCAAACAGGAUUAGAUACCCUGGUAGUCCACGCGGUAAACGAUGA